rnacentral:rRNA from 1 species
UACACUCCUACGGGAGGCAGCAGUGGGGAAUAUUGCACAAUGGGCGCAAGCCUGAUGCAGCCAUGCCGCGUGUAUGAAGAAGGCCUUCGGGUUGUAAAGUACUUUCAGCGGGGAGGAAGGCGAUAAGGUUAAUAACCUUGUCGAUUGACGUUACCCGCAGAAGAAGCACCGGCUAACUCCGUGCCAGCAGCCGCGGUAAUACGGAGGGUGCAAGCGUUAAUCGGAAUUACUGGGCGUAAAGCGCACGCAGGCGGUCUGUCAAGUCGGAUGUGAAAUCCCCAGGCUCAACCUGGGAACUGCAUUCGAAACUGGCAGGCUAGAGUCUUGUAGAGGGGGGUAGAAUUCCAGGUGUAGCGGUGAAAUGCGUAGAGAUCUGGAGGAAUACCGGUGGCGAAGGCGGCCCCCUGGACAAAGACUGACGCUCAGGUGCGAAAGCGUGGGGAGCAAACAGGAUUAGAAACCCGAGUAGUCCCA